CGUAGGGUGCAAGCGUUAAUCGGAAUUACUGGGCGUAAAGCGUGCGCAGGCGGUUUCGUAAGUCUGUCGUGAAAUCCCCGGGCUCAACCUGGGAAUUGCGAUGGAGACUGCGAAGCUAGAGUUUGGCAGAGGGGGGUAGAAUUCCACGUGUAGCAGUGAAAUGCGUAGAGAUGUGGAGGAACACCGAUGGCGAAGGCAGCCCCCUGGGUCAAAACUGACGCUCAUGCACGAAAGCGUGGGGAGCAAACAGGAUUAGAUACCCUGGUAGUCCACGCCCUAAACGAUGUCUACUAGUUGUCGGGUUUUAAUUAACUUGGUAACGCAGCUAACGCGUGAAGUAGACCGCCUGGGGAGUACGGUCGCAAGAUUA
rnacentral:rRNA from 1 species